rnacentral:rRNA from 1 species
CGCUAGUAAUCGCGGGUCAGCAUACCGCGGUGAAUAUGUUCCUGAGCCUUGUACACACCGCCCGUCAAGCCACGAAAGUGGGGGGGGCCCGAAGUCGCUAAGCCAACCUUGUGAGGCAGGCGCCGAAGGUCAACUCCGCGAUUGGGACUAAGUCGUAACAAGGUAGCCGUAGGGGAACCUGCGGCUGGAUCACCUCCUUUCUAAGGA